ensembl:lncRNA
UGUGGGUUUCGUUUCACACGCAGAGAAGGAGGAUUCAGGACUGUUAAGGAAGAGGUUGUAUUUAAAAAGUGGGGUUGCUGGGAGUGCCUGAGGUUAUUAAGGAUUUCAACUUAAAUUAAAGUGAUACUGUGCCAGGAGCAGGAGAAAAUGGAGAGUCUGGAACAAUCAGAAGCUUUUUGCUUGCAGGGAUUGGUUAAGUAUACACUGACGUCAUUGUGUGAAACGUUGUCCUUGUUUGAUGUGUAGUAUCAAUGCAGACGUCAUUUGGACAUUUGCACUCUGUGGAGGUGGAUAAGUGUAAGACAUGCAAAUGAGAGCUUGUAAAUUAAUUCAGGAUCAGAUAUAUCGACUGCCAUAGACCAUAGAAACAAGGGACAUUUCUUGUUUAUACACCACUUCGAAUUUAGUCAUCACAAUUAUUAACUCUUUCUUUAUUUCACAGCUUGUCUUUUGUUCUUUCUUCCUACCCUCACCUCAAAUGCCCCUGGCCUUGGUUCCCUUGCAACUGCCUGGAAAUCAGUGCUAUAUUACAGGAGACCUUUUGUACUUUCCCUUGUUUUCUAUCACAGAUAUAUUUUCAAAAUGCUGGUUCCCCC